rnacentral:rRNA from 1 species
UAGAGUUUGAUCCUGGCUCAGGAUGAACGCUAGCUACAGGCUUAACACAUGCAAGUCGAGGGGCAUCAGUUUGGUUUGCUUGCAAACCAAAGCUGGCGACCGGCGCACGGGUGAGUAACACGUAUCCAACCUGCCUCAUACUCGGGGAUAGCCUUUCGAAAGAAAGAUUAAUAUCCGAUAGCAUAUAUUUCCCGCAUGGGUUUUAUAUUAAAGAAAUUCGGUAUGAGAUGGGGAUGCGUUCCAUUAGUUUGUUGGCGGGGUAACGGCCCACCAAGACUACGAUGGAUAGGGGUUCUGAGAGGAAGGUCCCCCACAUUGGAACUGAGACACGGUCCAAACUCCUACGGGAGGCAGCAGUGAGGAAUAUUGGUCAAUGGACGCGAGUCUGAACCAGCCAAGUAGCGUGAAGGAUGACUGCCCUAUGGGUUGUAAACUUCUUUUAUAUGGGAAUAAAGUGGUCCACGUGUGGAUUUUUGUAUGUACCAUAUGAAUAAGGAUCGGCUAACUCCGUGCCAGCAGCCGCGGUAAUACGGAGGAUCCGAGCGUUAUCCGGAUUUAUUGGGUUUAAAGGGAGCGUAGGCGGAUUGUUAAGUCAGUUGUGAAAGUUUGCGGCUCAACCGUAAAAUUGCAGUUGAUACUGGCAGUCUUGAGUGCAGUAGAGGUGGGCGGAAUUCGUGGUGUAGCGGUGAAAUGCUUAGAUAUCACGAAGAACUCCGAUUGCGAAGGCAGCUCACUGGAGUGUAACUGACGCUGAUGCUCGAAAGUGUGGGUAUCAAACAGGAUUAGAUACCCUGGUAGUCCACACAGUAAACGAUGAAUACUCGCUGUUUGCGAUAUACAGUAAGCGGCCAAGCGAAAGCAUUAAGUAUUCCACCUGGGGAGUACGCCGGCAACGGUGAAA